rnacentral:misc_RNA from 1 species
GGAUAAAUCAGGAGAUUGAGAGGUAUGACUGCCUCUAAUAUUGAAUUUUUGUUUCCAAUCAGUAAAAAUUAUUACAGAUUACAUUAUCUGACAUGAAGGCAUGGGGCUCCAGCCCACAAUAUGGCUACAUGUUUACAACAGCAUAUGUUAUGUCUUCAUAUUAUCUGAAAUAUUUGUAUAUUUUAUUGGUUUGCUGUACUAUGUGAUUACUGACCCAGGUGCAUGUAACUCGAUCUAAAUCUGAGAAAUUGAAUGAUGAAUGUUUAUUUUUGGAACACACACCUGUAAAUACUUUGUUUUUGAUGGAUCACUUCAUUUUCUCUCCUAUAAAUUUUGUUUCCAACCAGUAAAAAUUAUUACAGAUUACU